rnacentral:rRNA from 1 species
GACGAACCGUGCGAACGUUGUUCGGAAUCACUGGGCUUAAAGGGCGCGUAGGCGGGCGGGCAAGUCGGAGGUGAAAGCCCCCAGCUCAACUGGGGAAGUGCCCUCGAUACUGCUUGCCUGGAGGGAGGUAGGGGCGUGCGGAACUUCCGGUGGAGCGGUGAAAUGCGUAGAUAUCGGAAGGAACACCGGUGGCGAAGGCGGCACGCUGGGCCUCUCCUGACGCUGAGGCGCGAAAGCCAGGGGAGCGAACGGG